rnacentral:rRNA from 1 species
GCAGUCGAACGAGAAAGUUUCCUUCGGGGAAUGAGUAAAGUGGCGCAAGGGUGAGUAACACGUGAGUAAUCUGCCUUCGAAUCUGGGAUAACUUGACGAAAGUUAAGCUAAUACCGGAUAAGACCACACUUCACAAGAAGUGCGGCCAAAGGGGUCUCAAACCCCGUUUGAAGAUGAGUUCGCGUACCAUUAGCUUGUUGGUGAGAUAACAGCUCACCAAGGCGACGAUGGUUAGCCGGCCUGAGAGGGUGAUCGGCCACACUGGAACUGAGACACGGUCCAGACUCCUACGGGAGGCAGCAGUGGGGAAUUUUGCGCAAUGGGCGAAAGCCUGACGCAGCAACGCCGCGUGAGCGAUGAAGGCCUUCGGGUCGUAAAGCUCUGUCAAGUGGGAAGAACACAAUGACGGUACCACUAGAGGAAGCCCCGGCUAACUUCGUGCCAGCAGCCGCGGUAAUACGAAGGGGGCAAGCGUUGUUCGGAAUUAUUGGGCGUAAAGCGUGUGUAGGUGGUUGUUCAAGUCAAACGUGUAAGCCCUCGGCUCAACCGAGGAAUUGCGUUUGAAACUGAUCGACUUGAGUACAGGAGAGGAAAGC